UACGUAGGGUGCGAGCGUUAAUCGGAAUUACUGGGCGUAAAGCGUGCGCAGGCGGUGAUGUAAGACAGUUGUGAAAUCCCCGGGCUCCACCUGGGAAUUGCAUCUGUGACUGCAUCGCUAGAGUACGGUAGAGGGGGAUGGAAUUCCGCGUGUAGCAGUGAAAUGCGUAGAUAUGCGGAGGAACACCGAUGGCGAAGGCAAUCCCCUGGACCUGUACUGACGCUCAUGCACGAAAGCGUGG
rnacentral:rRNA from 1 species